rnacentral:rRNA from 1 species
UACGAGGGGGGCAAGCGUUGUUCGGAAUUAUUGGGCGUAAAGGGUGCGUAGGCUGUGCGGUAAGUCACCUGUGAAAACUCUGGGCUCAACCCAGAGCCUGCAGGCGAAACUGCCGUGCUGGAGUAUGGGAGAGGUGCGUGGAAUUCCCAGUGUAGCGGUGAAAUGCGUAGAUAUUGGGAGGAACACCAGUGGCGAAGGCGGCUCGCUGGACCGGUUCUGACGCUGAUGCGCGAAAGCGUGGGGAGCAAACGGG